UACGUAGGGGGCGAGCGUUGUCCGGAAUUAUUGGGCGUAAAGAGCGUGUAGGCGGCCAAGUAAGUCCGGUGUGAAAACUCGAGGCUUAACCUCGAGAUGUCAUCGGAAACUAUUUGGCUAGAGUCCGGAAGAGGAGAGUGGAAUUCCUGGUGUAGCGGUGAAAUGCGUAGAUAUCUGGAGGAACACCUAUGGCGAAGGCAGCUCGCUGGGACGUUACUGACGCUGAGACGCGAAAGCGUGGGGAGCAAACAGG
rnacentral:rRNA from 1 species